GCACAACUUGCCAAAUAUUUGCAUUUUUAUGGAAUCAGAGAAUAUAAAUAUUACUCGAGGAACCUGCAACUUUACACAGUUUGUAACGGCUGCAAUUUCGUGUUUCUCUGAUACGAAGGAAUCACAAAUGAUCAAGAAGCUGAAAAUACCAGAGUACGCUUUCGUACGAGCUUUCUUCCAAGCUUGCCUGAGGUCAUACGUGGUUCGCGUCUUCAUAUAGAUACACAACGUCGACGAGAACAAACACGUUCGAACCGGUAAAUCGAUCUUUCAAUGAAAUUUUGGUAUCAGCGAUUCGAGGAUGUACAGUUUCACGGAGAGAUAUCACGCGCAUCGAGAGCCGUGUCGUCUGCAAAACUGCGUAAAACGAUUGGCGAUGACCGAGGCGAUACGUGGAGCAGUAAAGACAUUCGUACCGAGAAACUUGGCCCCAGAUUGAACAUAGACAGGGUUAUCACCGGAGACUUUCAUCCCGUAUCCGGCCUCGUCCUUGUAGACGACGAGGGUGGCAACGGGUGCUGGUUCAACGGUUCCACCCCCGGCGGCGCCUCCGCCACCCCCGACGCUGC